UUAGUGGCGGACGGGUGAGUAACGCGUGGAAAACCUGCCGUAUACUGGGGGAUAACACUUAGAAAUAGGUGCUAAUACCGCAUAAGCGCACAGCUUCGCAUGAAGCGGUGUGAAAAACUCUGGUGGUAUACGAUGGUUCCGCGUCUGAUUAGCUAGUUGGUGGGGUAAUGGCCUACCAAGGCAACGAUCGGUAGCCGGCCUGAGAGGGUGAACGGCCACAUUGGGACUGAGACACGGCCCAAACUCCUACGGGAGGCAGCAG
rnacentral:rRNA from 1 species